GGCAGUUCUAGGAUGACACACCCAGGAACUGGGCUCCCUCCUCUCUGGGUGCAUCACCCAAGAACCGCA
rfam:Myotis davidii contig30800, whole genome shotgun sequence.